rnacentral:tRNA from 1 species
AGGAAAUUAGUUAAAUGGAAUAACAACAGUCUCCAAAACUGUAAUCAGUGGUUCGAUUCCACUAUUUCCUG